GGGCUCACACAAGCGGUGGAGCAUGUGGCUUAAUUCGAGGCUACGCGAAGAACCUUAUCCUGGAAUUGACAUAUGUGAAAACGGUAGGAAGUAAUUGCCGGAAACGGCCAAUGAACGGUAUCCAGUCCGGAGCUUACCACAGGUGCUGCAUGGCUGUCGUCAGCUCGUGUCGUGAGAUGUCUGGUUAAGUCCGAUAACGAGCGCAACCCUUGUCUCUAGUUGCCAGCGGGUAAUGCCGGGAACUCUAGAGAGACUGCCGGUGUCAAACCGGAGGAAGGUGGGGAUGACGUCAAGUCCUCAUGGCCUUUAUGUCCAGGGCUGCACACGUGCUACAAUGGCGUAUACAGAGGGACGCAAAAUCGCAAGAUCAAGCAAAUCCCAAAAGUACGCCCCAGUUCAGAUUGCAGGCUGCAACUCGCCUGCAUG
rnacentral:rRNA from 1 species